rnacentral:rRNA from 2 species
UAGGGAAUCUUCGGCAAUGGGGGGAACCCUGACCGAGCAACGCCGCGUGAGUGAAGAAGGUUUUCGGAUCGUAAAGCUCUGUUGUUAAGGAAGAACGAGUGUGAGAAUGGAAAGUUCAUGCUGUGACGGUACUUAACCAGAAAGGGACGGCUAACUACGUGCCAGCAGCCGCGGUAAUACGUAGGUCCCGAGCGUUGUCCGGAUUUAUUGGGCGUAAAGCGAGCGCAGGCGGUUAGAAAAGUCUGAAGUGAAAGGCAGUGGCUCAACCAUUGUAGGCUUUGGAAACUGUUUAAUUUGAGUGCAGAAGGGGAGAGUGGAAUUCCAUGUGUAGCGGUGAAAUGCGUAGAUAUAUGGAGGAACACCGGUGGCGAAAGCGGCUCUCUGGUCUGUAACUGACGCUGAGGCUCGAAAGCGUGGGGAGCGAACAGG